GAUGAACGCUGGCGGCGUGCCUAAUACAUGCAAGUCGAGCGAACGGACGAGAAGCUUGCUUCUCUGAUGUUAGCGGCGGACGGGUGAGUAACACGUGGAUAACCUACCUAUAAGACUGGGAUAACUUCGGGAAACCGGAGCUAAUACCGGAUAAUAUUUUGAACCGCAUGGUUCAAAAGUAAAGGACGGUCUUGCUGUCACUUAUAGAUGGAUCCGCGCUGCAUUAGCUAGUUGGUAAGGUAACGGCUUACCAAGGCAACGAUGCAUAGCCGACCUGAGAGGGUGAUCGGCCACACUGGAACUGAGACACGGUCCAGACUACUACGGGAGGCAGCAGUAGGGAAUCUUCCGCAAUGGGCGAAAGCCUGACGGAGCAACGCCGCGUGAGUGAUGAAGGUCUUCGGAUCGUAAAACUCUGUUAUUAGGGAAGAACAUAUGUGUAAGUAACUGUGCACAUCUUGACGGUACCUAAUCAGAAAGCCACGGCUAACUACGUG
rnacentral:rRNA from 1 species